rnacentral:ncRNA from 1 species
CUCGAUAAAGGCAAACCCCGAGCAAUCGGGGGACGCAAAGCCACGGGUCCUUGAGGAAAGGAUAGCCGGGCUGCCGAAA